GAUGAACGCUGGCGGCGUGCCUAACACAUGCAAGUCGAGCGAAGAGACGAGGAUCUUGCGCCUCUUUCGUUACCGGCGGACGAGUGAUUAACACGUGGAUAACCCUUCUAUAAGGCUUAGAUAACUGCGGGAGACCGUAGUUCAUACCGCUUAAUCCAUUGAACCGCAGGGGGCAAUAAUGGAAGAUGCUUUUUCUGUCUCUUAUAGAGGGAUCUCCGCCUCUUGAUCGAGUAGUUAAGGUAACGGCUUACCAAGGGAACGAGGCGUAGCCGACGGGAGAGGGUGAUCGGCCACACAGGAACUGAGACACGGUCCAGACUCCGACGGGAGGCAGCAGUAGGGAAUCGUGCGCAAUGGGCGAAAGAUUGACGGAGCAACGGCGCGUGAGUGCUGAAGGGCUUCGGAUCGUAAAACUGUGUUAUUAGGGAAGAACAAAUGUGUCAGUGACUAUGCACGUAGUGACGGUACCUACUCAGAAAGCCACGGCUAACUACGUG
rnacentral:rRNA from 1 species